rnacentral:pre_miRNA from 1 species
UUUAAGUAUUGCUGUGAGUUUUUUAUUCAGCAUUUGACCGUUCGUCUUAUUUGAAAAAAAUUUUAUGAUUAGUAUUUUUAUUGUUUUUAGAUGAUAAAACGUGAAUAAUAUGUGACGCAUGACUUUUUUUAUUUUUUUAUAUUUCUUGUAAAUAAUACGGGUGAUUAAACGUUAGACACGAAACCCACGACUACACUCAAA